AUUGAACGCUGGCGGCAGGCCUAACACAUGCAAGUCGAACGAGUGGCGGACGGGUGAGUAAUGUCUGGGAAACUGCCUGAUGGAGGGGGAUAACUACUGGAAACGGUAUCUAAUACCGCAUACCAUCAGAUGUGCCCAUAUGGGAUUAGCUUGUUGGUGGGGUAACGGCUCACCAAGGCGACGAUCCCUAGCUGGUCUGAGAGGAUGACCAGCCACACUGGAACUGAGACACGGCCCAGACUCCUACGGGAGGCAGCAGUGGGGAAUAUUGGACAAUGGGCGAAAGCCUGAUCCAGCCAUGCCGCGUGUGUGAAGAAGGCCUUCGGAUUGUAAAGCACUUUAAGUUGGGAGGCGUUACCAACAGAAUAAGCACCGGCUAACUUCGUGCCAGCAGCCGCGGUAAUAC
rnacentral:rRNA from 1 species